ACAGGUGUAAGCCACUGCACCCGGCCCAUGCUUCCUUCUUGAAGUACAAAUCUGUUAAGCUUUUCAUGCAAUCCCUACUCUUCGACAGUCACACAAAGUGCCAUCACUAUGGGCUUUCAGUCACUACAAUACCAUUUAUGUUCCUUUUUGAUGAGAACGUUAAGAUACUCAAGACUCAAUACAAAGGACUAGAACACCUAAUUAAAUUAGCAGAAAACCUGGAGAACAAGCCACUGUAAGAACAUGUUGGGUCUCGUGGGGACUUAGUUUGGAAUAGCCAUGGGCGAAGCAGGAGCAAGAGCAACCAUGAUGUCGUUUCUCAAACAUGAGUCUUCUGCAGUAACCAGUAACUGGGAAACAGCUGAAAGCUCCCUCCUC
rnacentral:lncRNA from 10 species